UCGACUAAGGUUCGAUUCGAGCGAAAGCGAGAAAGCGUUGCCAACGGCAACGACCCGAAGGGCGAAGCGCGCAGCGCUGAGUAAUCCUUCCCCCACCACCA
rnacentral:sRNA from 1 species